AUUCUAUAUUACUUGUACGACCACGUACGCUUGCGUGUACGUUUGGAAGUAACAUCACAUAAAAUAUGUCACCUCUUAAUUAUACACAUCAUCAUCAACUAGAAUAGACCUGAAGUUUUGUGGCUUAUUGAAGCUAAUGCAUAUAUUUAAAAGGAGGCGAUAUAUUUUAAAUGGUAACUUAUAUACAUAAUAAAUGCGUGGAAACGCGUGCAAUUUUUUUUCUAAAUUUUAAUCGAAACUAUCUAAUAGAAAUACCUUAUCAUAUUUUUAUGUGUUCAAUCAAAACAAUCCAUAAUUUUAGCAUUUUAAAAAAAUUCACUGAUAAAUUUAAAAAGUUAUCAAUGUAUUUCGCCUUCAAAAAAAUACAUUCAAAAUGUAAGAGAGAGAUACAUAGAGAUGACAGCUGUGCUCCUUAAUUCCUGAUGAUGCGCAUGUGAAGAGGAUUUAAGCUAAGUGAAUGUUCUCUGAUUAUCAGGUCCCUCGGACCCCUAUACCGACAAAUAGAUACCCCUCCGUCUCAAAAUAUUUGUCCCAUUUCUCAUUUACAUGCACAUUAAAAAUACAUUUAUAAAGGUAAAGAUUUUGACUAUUUUACUCUCCUAACAGAUUACAUCAUGUUCUCUCUCCUCAAUAAAUAUUUACUCCAUUAAUGAUGAAACCUCUUAAAUGUUGCAAUAUGAACUCACAAAAAUAGCUCAUUGAUGUAAUUAAUACAAGGGUGAAAAUGAGAAAAAGCUACUUAAUUUUAUCUUGAAUAAAACAACAAAUAUUUAUAGUAAGAACGACAAAUAUUUUGAGACGGAGGGAGUAUUAGACUUGUAUGUAUGAGAUUCAUCCACGGUAUAUCAUGGCUAAGGAUUGGCGGAAUAUAUUGGCACUCCCUUUAAUUUCAUGUCAAUAUAUUUCAACAUUCGAACUAUAAUUAAUUUGUUUCAAUUGGCCAGCUGAACACAUAAUUUAUAUUAGACAUUUCGACCAAACUUUGGAAAAACUUUAGCACGUGUUCUCAAGCAUCAAUUAGAUAGAUAAAUUAACCAUAUAACAUAUGUAACCUCUUUUAAUUAUAAACAUCAACUUCAAUUGGGACAAGCUUGAAGUUUUACGAUUUAUUGAGGGUAAUGUGUAUAAUUAGAGGAGUUGACUUGUUGAGGAUCUGUCGGAAACAACCUCUCUACCCUACAAAGGUUGGGGUAAGGUGGGCUUGCGUACAUUUUAUCCUCCCCAAACCCCACUUGUGGGAUUACACUGGGUAUGUUGUUAUUGUUGUUGUAACGUAUCUAUGUAAUGGACGCUUGAGAAUACACACAUAGACUUUAAGGAGAAAACAUUUAAUAGGAACACUUUAAUUAUCAUGCAUUCAAUUAAGCCGUACGUAGUUUGAGUGUCUAAAUAAAAUACUGUAAUAAAUUUAAGAGACCGUGGAUGUAUAUCCGCCCAGAAUUUUUACUUCAGUUUGAAAACGACUGGUUAAUGGGAAAUGAAAAAUAAAACGAGUUUAGAUUUUGGGCAAUCUUGGAAGGAAGUUGAUAGAGUUUCAAUGUCUGGGCAAAUUUCAUGGGUGGUAUCUAAACUUUGUUACUAAAUUUCGGUGAUUGGUAUAAUAGUACUUUUCAUUAUACAAUAUAAAUAUAUAGGUUAUAGGUAUAUGUAAUUACAAAAUAAAGUUUAGAUACUUAUGUGAAGAUAAUAUUAAUUUGGAUAACACCCAUAAAAUUUGUACUUCAAUGUCCCAUGACCCUGAACAGAUUGAAGUUAGUUUCACAUUGAUAAAGAAAGAGCACAAUAGCAAGAAUCAGAUGCUGUUGAGAUUUGUUCUCAUCUCUGGGAUUAUACAAAAUUACAAGGUAUUAACUCCAAAUGCAGCAAAAAAAAGACAUUUUUUUUUGUU